UCAAGACCUACUGCAGUCAGAGCAACACUGGUUUUGCAUUAUUUUGCUUAUCUCUUGGAAGCUAUUUCUCUAGUGUCUGCUGGCGUCAAUUCACCCAUGGGAAGCCUGCUUUCAGCAUAAUGACUGCCUCUUUGUAGGAUGAAGACCCAUAUAUCCUGAGUGGAGCCUCAAAGAACCCUUCUAAUCUGACCCCUGGAGACUUUUCCAGCUCCAUCGAGGACCAGCACCCUCAGCUCUUUCUUCAGUGUGUGGGCCUUCUUCCUGCUUCUCACCAGCCCAGGCCCAGGCAGCUCCCUCUUCCAGGAAUCCUCUCUUCUGUGGUGACUGCCACACCUACCCCAUUUGCCUAAUUCAUCCCUUCUCAUUUUCCACAUAUCAGCUCAAAUAUCACUUCUUCAGGGAAGCCUUCUCUGAUCCCCAGGCCACUUUAGCCCUUCUUCCUUGUACAUCUUUGAGCACUUUUCCUUAUCAGGCAUCACAGUUUGUGAUA